AAGUCGUAACAAGGUUUCCGUAGGUGAACCUGCGGAAGGAUCAUUACAGAAUAAACCUGGCUGGUUGUUGCUGGCUCUUCCGGGAGCAUGUGCACGCCGGUCACUUUUAUCUUACCACCUGUGAACACUUUGUAGAUCUGGAGGUAUCUUCACGGACUUUGUCUGUGGUUUUUGGAAGCUGUCGUGCCUCUGCGCCGACUCUUCCUGGCCUUCAGGUCUAUGUCUUUACAUCUACUCCAUAGCAUGUAAACGAACGAAUCAAUGGCAGCUUUAUGCAGCCUAUAAAACUUGUACAACUUUCAGCAACGGAUCUCUUGGCUCUC
rnacentral:misc_RNA from 1 species